ensembl:antisense Gm42984 predicted gene 42984
UCGCAGACGCCCGCCAUGUUCCGAGAGCCACACACUGUCCCCGCCACCUCCCUCCAGCCGCCCGCCCGGCCUCCGCCUCCCGCCGGCCCCCUCGCCGCCUCGCCCCGCCCCUCGCCCGGGCAGCCGCCAUCCGUAGCCCGCCGGCCGGCGCGCGCCAUUGGCGUCAGCGGCGCGUGGGAGGCCGCGGUGGCCGCCGCCACGGCCGCCGCCAUCUUCUUCCUGCCGUCGCCGUGGCGCGCGGCGGGCUCUGCGGACCGGGGCGCCGCGCCGGGCUCCAUGCCGCCGGGUCGCGCGGUGGGGGACGGUGGGCGGCAGCGGGGCUCGGCGUGGUUGUCCGCGCGGCCGGAGCCCCUUGUGCCCGUGCGGUGGCCGGAGUGCGCCGGCGCGACCCGCCUGGCCUUGGCUGCACGGCGACUGGGGCCGGGCUCCAGCUCUGUGGCUCCCGCCGGCGCCGACCCGGUGGCUCUGCUGUCUUGGCUGCAUCUCUCCUGCAUAUUUAUGAUCGUCUGUCACAUUCCCUGUCCGUGGACAGUGUCCAAAGCCUAGCUCGGGGGAGCGUGCCAACAGCCAGCUGAGGAUAUAGCCAAGUGGAGAAUUGCUUAAGCAAAUUGAAAUGAAGACCUGGCCUGAAAAUUUUCCCUAGCUAACAGUCCCGUUCCACCUCGGAAAUAAGCUUACUGAAAUUGAAAACAUGAUCAAAACUUUGCCUUAUUAUUUGCAAAUGCUUAUGAUAUAGAAAAAAAUGUUAAGCUCUACCAGCCGAAAGCAUCAGCCUGACAUAACCUCAACACUCCAGGGAGUCUGCACUGGGAUGGACAAAAAAAUAAAGUGGCUGUGGGACUAUUGCAGCCAGAUCCGUUCUUUCUUUCCAUGCUCACUUUGUGGAAGCUUGUCCCUGGGCUCCUCUGAUGGAGCCCCAAGCCCCUUCUGAAUUUGUCCUUCAGGAUCUGUGAAUUGUUGCUUGCUCAAAUACAUUCUUGAACAUUUU